rnacentral:rRNA from 1 species
UACGUAGGUGGCAAGUGUUGUCCGGAUUUAUUGGGUUUAAAGGGUGCGUAGGCGGCCCUGUAAGUCAGUGCUGAAAUAUCCCGGCUUAACCGGGAGGGUGGCAUUGAUACUGCGGGGCUAGAGUACAGAUGAGGUAGGCGGAAUUGACGGUGUAGCGGUGAAAUGCUUAGAUAUCGUCAAGAACACCUAUAGCGAAGGCAGCUUACUAGGCUGUAACUGACGCUGAGGCACGAAAGUGUGGGGAUCAAACAGG